GCCCUAGACUUCUUUCUCCAGGCUCCCGUUGUGUGGCUUGGCUGCCCACUACCUCAUUCCCAUCAAUGGACAAUGGCUGGGAGAGAAAGCCUCCGUGACUGUAUCACGGAACAGUCUCCACUCCAGGUUAUGGAUCCACUGUUGGGCAGUUCUACACUGCUCACAUCCGGAUGCCGAUUCUGCCAGCAAAUCCAUCUGAUUCUAUCUCUCUCUCCGGUCUGUCUAACUCUAGGUUCUGCACAUGUCUAACAUGUGGUUGUGUGAGUGCCAGAGUGCAAGCUCUUGGGAGGCAGGGGACACAUUUAUUGAUGUUGUAUCACCAACAUUUAGUACAUGCCUGCUAAAAAGUUACUGUCAACAUAUUUGUUGAACAAUGAUUACUGGAUGGGUGGAUGAAACAUCAAUAUGACUUGCCCAAGGGCAGUUAUGAAUGUCUCCAAAACUAUUUCAGGGGUAAUUCAUGAACAUGUCCUCUGAGGAUUCUUCUUCCAUCUCUAAGUCAGUUCCUAUGAUAUGACUACCUCAGGGCAAGAAAGUCACUGUGUCCCUGCUACAACAAAAGAUCACUCAUGUUUCCCGACCACUCAUGUUACCCUCUCUCUUCUCAAGAGGGCAUUUCCUUUCAAUGAUGUGAUUUUACAUACUGCAUGCCUGUAUCAAAACAUCUAAUGUAUCCCAUAAAUAUACAUAUAUCUACUAUGUACCCGCAAAAAUUAAAAAAAAAAUUUUUUUUAAAGAGGGCAUUUUGGCCAGGUGCAGUGGCUCACACCUGUAAUCCCAGCACUUUGGGAGGCCAAGGUGGGUGGAUCACUUGAGAUCAGGAGUUCAAGACCAGCCUGGUCAACAUGGUGAAACCCUGUCUCUACUAAAAAAUACAAAAAUUAGCCAGGUGUGGUGGUAGGCGCCUGUAAUCCCAGCUACUCGGGAGGCUGAGGCAGGGAGAAUCGUUUGAACCUGGGAGGCAGAGGUUGCAGUGAGCUGAGAUUGUGCCACCGUGCUCCAACCUGGGUGACUGAGCAAGACUCUAUCUCAAAAAAAAAAAAAAAAAAAAAAAGAGGGCAUUUCCCAUUUCUUUUUAUAAACUCUAUUCCAGUUAUGUUGAGUGUCAGCCAAAGAUCUGAGGUUGGUGUCCUGCAGCCAGUACUGCUGGAAUGGAUUGACAGUCAUGGGAAUGUACCAGGUAUCAUGGGGGCAGGCCCUGCUCUAGGUUAUGGAGCCACUGUUGGGUAGUCCUACCCUUCUCACAUCCAGAUGCAGAUUCCGCUGGCAAUUCCAUCUAGUCCUAUGAGACAUUCCCUGGAAAUGAUGUGCUCAUCCUCAUCAGCUACGUGAUGAAUGAAUCCAGGGGUGUUUGUCUGUGAAGUGUCUGCUAUCUCCUGUGCUUGAUUUACUGACGUGGAUGUUGUUCUCGAGGUGUGGGUUGAAGCCAUGAAAAUAAAUGCCUUCAAGGAAGGUAUGUAAGCAGACUGCAGUAUUGGAGGGUACUCACAGUUGGUAAGUAGGGCAGGGAAGAGGAAUGAGAAAAGGUAAGAAGGAGAGAGAGAAGUGAGAGAAUGAGAGUGAGGUAGUGACACUAGGAAAGUGACAUGUCAUGGGAGACAAAAACAAAAACAAAAAAAACGAGAGAGAGACGAAAUAACAGUGCCACAUCCUGAUAGAGUCAUCAAACUCUGAUGAAAGUCUAUUAAAUAUGGCAAUAAAGAGGUCAUUAGCAAGAUGUAGGAGAAAAGGUUUAGACAUGUGAUGAGUGAGAAGAAAGCCAGGAGAGAUGUGGCUGCCCAGGAAGGUGAGGCAGUGGUGGUGCCUGAUGUAUUCAAGUAUUUGGAUAGGAAAGAAUGUUGCCCUGUAGAGGAAAGAAUGUUGCCCUGUAGUGAAAAGAACCACCAGGUUCAAAUGAAGAUCAUGUCAAUGUGGGCAAAUCUCAGUACACAGGAUGAUAGGAGAAAAAGAAUCAGAAGAGAGAGGAUGUUUCAAAGGGAAGAGUGGCUGAGGGAUCCAGAUUUUUAGGAAAGGAUGGGAUUCAUAUGACUGAGGUCAGAAUCCUAGCCUAAAGUUGUAAAAUGAGGUCAGUGAAGUUACACUGUCAAACGCCAGCUCCCCAAAUGACCAUAGAAAACCCUUAGAACCAAGCAAAACUAAGGGGUAGAUAUUUACAGGGAUUUGUGGGUCUGGGUUCAAGUGGUUUAAGGCAAAUCUUUUUUUUUCCUAUGUCUUGUAAAUUUUUUUUUUUUUUUUUUUUUUUUUUUUACUUUAAGUUCUGGAAUACAUGUGCAGAACAUGCUGGUUUGUUACAUACGUGUGCCAUGGUGGUUUGCUGCACCUAUCAACCUGUCACCUAGGCUUUAAGCCCCACAUGCAUUAGCCACUUGUCCUGAUGCUCUCCCUCCCCUCACUCACCCCCUGACAGGUCCCAGUAUGUGUUAUUCCAUUCCCUGUGUCCAUGUGUUCUCAUUGUUCAACUCCCACUUAUGAGUGAGAACAUGUGGUGUUUGGUUUUCUGUUCCUGUGUUAGUUUGCUGAGGAUGAUGGCUUCCAGUCUCAUCCAUGUCCCUGCAAAGGACAUGAUACCACAUUCCUUUUUGUAGCUGCGUAGUAUUCCAUGGUGUAUAUGUACCACAUUUUCUUUAUCCAGUCUAUCAUUAUGGGCAUUUGGGUCAGUUCCAUGUCUUUGUUAUUGUGAAUAGUGC
rnacentral:lncRNA from 1 species